GAAAGCCGUAUGAGGGAGAACCUCACGUACGGUUUGAAGUGGCGGGGGCUGGAAACGGGUUUAAAAUACCGCGCCAGACCUCGACCCUAC
rfam:Desulfuribacillus alkaliarsenatis strain AHT28 DSM-24608_Contig_1_85X, whole genome shotgun sequence.